rnacentral:rRNA from 1 species
UUUUAUAACUAACACCAACUUCUUUUAUUAAACAAAAACCAAUACAAAAUUAAAAACUAACUUCAUCAAAAACCAAGUCUCUAAGCAAUGGAUGUCUUGGCUCCUCACACGAUGAAGAACGUGGCAUAAUGUGUUAAGUAACCGGAGUUGCAAACAUCAUGACAGGUUAAUCUUUGAAUGCAAAUUGCGCUAAACUCGAUCUCGGUCGAGAAGCAUGGGUGUGACAGUACUACAUCUUUUAUAAUAAUUCUUAUUCUAAGCGAAUAAGUAAAUAAUAUAUAAGACAAACAACACGUAGUCUGCCAUACGCAGGAAGACCCGCUGAACUGAAGCAUCUCAUUAAGCGG